CCGGGUGUAGCGCAGUUGGUAGCGCGCCUGCUUUGGGAGCAGGAUGUCGGGUGUUCAAGUCACCUCACUCGGACCA
rnacentral:tRNA from 1 species